rnacentral:rRNA from 1 species
CGGGCCGCACAGCGGUGAGUAUGUGGUUUAAUCGAUGCAACGCGAAGAACCUUACCUGGUCUUGACAUCCCGGAGACCCUUAGGAAACUAGGGGGUGCUUCCAUCUGGAAGAAUCUGGAGACAGGUGCUGCAUGGCUGUCGUCAGCUCGUGUCGUGAGAUGUUGGGUUAAGUCCCGCAACGAGCGCAACCCUUGCCUUUUAGUUGCCAGCAGUUCGGCUGGGCACUCUAAAGGGACUGCCGGUGUUAAACCGGAGGAAGGUGGGGAUGACGUCAAGUCCUCAUGGCCUUUAUGACCAGGGCUACACACGUACUACAAUGGCCGAUACAAAGGGCAGCGACACUGCGAGGUGAAGCCAAUCCCGUAAAAUCGGUCUCAGUCCGGAUUGGAGUCUGCAACUCGACUCCAUGAAGUUGGAAUCGCUAGUAAUCGUGGAUCAGCAUGCCACGGUGAAUACGUUCCCGGGCCUU